CACAUUUCUCAGAAAUUUGACAACAAAACAAAACAAAGCGAGAUAUGUCGAGCCAACAAAGAAGGCGCAGUUGGAAAAUUUAGUAAUUAGUAACGAAGUAGCAGGCAUAUUUGGAAAAUUAUGCCGAUAAACAGGAUGGAAUUUGGGAAAAAACGUUAUAAAUCGAGUGGCUCAUUUACGAUGUGCUCCAAACAUUUGGCGAACUUUUUUUCGCCUUUUCAACGUGCUAAGUAACAAGUUAAGAUGACUGCCAUCAUGGGCCGGUAAGAAACCGCAAGCAAAGGGCAGACAACCUUCCAGGAAGCUGCCUCCUGUCCCCGAGCCGAAGCUGCAGUUCAGCAAGAGCAGGUCAGCAAAUUGCUACCCUGAUCA